rnacentral:rRNA from 1 species
GUGGAUCUAAAUCAGGCCUCCACCGACGGCGCCUCCGCUGCACGUAGCAUGCUUCUGCUCCUGGAGUAAUGGCCGCAAUGGAAGCUUUUUCAGUCACUCCAAGCUUCCCUUUCAGUUAAUCACUCUUCCAGCUCAGGUGCACCGCAAGUAUAAAUAGAGAGCCAAGAUAAAACAAACUUGCCCAGCCACUGAUGGCUGCAAUAAUGGUGAGCGCUUCAACUGGGGUGAUGAACUCUCUCCUGCGUAAGCUGGCCACCUUGAUGGGGGACGAGUUCGCCAAGCUAACGAACUUGAGGAAGGAGGUUAAGCACAUCAUUGAUGAGCUGGGCAGUAUGAAGGGUGCUCUGGAGAGCCUUGCAGAUGUGGAUGAGCUAGAUAUACAGACGACGAGGUGGAGAGACGAGGUCAGGGAGAUGUCUUAUGACAUCGAGGAUAUUAUCGAUGACUUCAUGUGCAAAAUUGGGGAGAAGAAGAAAAAAUCUGGGUUUGUCCACGACACUAUUCAACGCCACAAAACUUCAAGGGCCCGCCAUCAGAUUGCUGGUCAGAUUGAGGACAUAAAAAAACUUGUGCGUGAAACAAGUGAACGGCGUAAAAGAUAUAAGCUCGAUGCCCCCAAAUCACAUAGUGUGGCAAUUGACCAACGAGUUGUCGCACUCUAUGAAAAUGCAGCUAAACUUGUUGGUAUGGAGGGCCCAACCAAAGAGAUUAUCAGUUGCCUAAACGAUGAGGAGAAGGAUAAAAAGCUGAAGGUUGUAUCAAUUGUUGGUUUCGGAGGUUUAGGUAAAACAACACUCGCCAAUGAGGUAUACCAUAAGCUGAAGGGGCGAUUUCACUGUGGUGCAUUUGUGCCGGUGUCUCAGAAGCCAAAUAUUCCAAAACUUCUGCAUAGUUUAUUAACCCAACAUGGGCGUGGCCAAUCAUUUCAUGAUUGUGAGUUAAAUGUUCUUCUCGACCAACUCAGAGAAAAUCUAAAAAAAAGAGGUACUUGGUUGUCAUUGAUGAUCUAUGGGAUGCAUCAGCAUGGAAUAUUAUUAAAUGUGCUUUCCCAGAAAAUGAACUUCAUAGUAGAUUAAUAGUAACUACAAGAAUCAAGAAUGUAGCUGCGGCAUGUUGUUUGGGUCACCACAAGCAUAUUCUGGAAAUGAAACCACUUAGUGAAGAAGACUCAAGGAAAUUGUUUUUUGAUAGGAUAUUUUGCUCUGAAGAAGCUUGUCCAAGUCAACUCAGAGAUGUUUCAGUGGAGAUUCUCAAGAAAUGUGGUGGUCUGCCACUUGCAAUCAUUAGCAUAUCCAGCCUAUUACCAAGUGGAACUUUUAACCAAAAGGAGAGGUGGAAACAUGUACAGAAUUCUUUGGGGUCAUUGUCGGGCACAAAUCUCACCUUAGAAGCAAUGAGAUAGAUCUUGAACCUUAGCUACAAAAAUCUUCCUCACCACCUCAGGACAUGCUUCUUAUAUCUUGGUAUGUUUCUAGAAGACUCUGAAAUAUAUAGGGAUGAGUUGGUAAGGCUAUGGGUCUCUGAAGGUUUUGUUAGUAAAGCACGUGGACAAAGCCCAGAACAAACUGCGAUAAGUUAUUUCAAUGAGCUUGUCAACAGGAGCCUUAUUCAACCUGUACAAAUUGACACGGAUGGGUCGGUGAGAACUUGCAAAGUACAUGAUAUGUUGUUGCAUCUUAUAUUGUACAAGUCCGCAGAAGAGAAUUUUAUCACUGUAGUAGACAGCCCGGAUGCCAUUACAGGACAGCUUCAAAAGCCCCGCCGGGUGCUCUUCAAUUUGGAUGGUGCAACAUUGCCAUGGGAUGGUAGUAUGUCACAAGUGCGAUCAUUUGCAAUGUGGAGAAGCUGCAAGAGUAUACCUUCUUUGGUAGAGUUCAAGUAUCUUCGAGUUUUUAUUGCUGACUUUAGUUCUAUUUCUACUGAUGACAACCAGAAAAUCAACCUGACAGGAUUGUGUAAAUUAUAUCAGCUGCGACAUAUACAGAUUCGUGGCUGUGAUACAUGCCAGCUACCAACGAAGAUUAGAGGGCUACAAAACUUGGAAACAUUUGAUAUAGAUGGGUCAUGUCUCCCAAUGGAUAUUUUUCACCUGCCACGCUUGUUGGAUCUCCAUGUUCCCCGUUGAAAGGCUACCUAUGGGCGUUGGUAAAAUGACAUCUCUACAACAUCUGUGGCAUUUUGACAUGCUGUACAACUCGCUCGACAAUAUCAAGGGCCUAGGAGAGCUUACCAAUCUGAGUACUCUAUCUCUCAGGACCGGUUUUGUGGAAGAUGCGCACAUGGAUGUUCUAAACACUUCUUUGGAAAAACUUUGUAGCCUUGAGUGGCUGCACAUAAUUUCACCUGAUUAUUGGAUACCUGAGGCACUAACCUUGUCACCUCCUCCCCCCAACCUUAUGACACUCCACAUGAUACGAAGGUUCCGGGUCCCUAAUUGGAUUGGGGAACUCCAUAACCUCCAGAUGUUGUGUCUCACUGUUGACAAGCUGGACAAGGAUGAUGUUGUUAUUCUUGCGGAGUUACCUGCCCUCAUUGACCUACGUUUAAUGCUUGAUAGAGCACUGGAAGAAAAUAUUGCCAUAUAUGGGACAGCAUUCGCAAUUCUAAAGCGGUUUGAAGUCACCUGGAAUAUCAUGCCACACCUGACCUUCCAAGCCGGGGCAAUGCCUAAGCUCCAAAGCCUCUCCCUACAGUUCAAUGCCAGGGGGUGGAAGCAGGACGACAACGCUGCACCCACAGGUAUCGAGCACUUGUUAGCACUCGAAAAAAUCUAUGUGGGAAUCGGCUGCCGGAGUGCUACUAAAUGGGAAAAGAGCAGCGCAGAGUCUGACAUUAGGAGAGCUAUCAACAUGCAUCCCUGGCCAUGCUCACGUUACAGUAGAAUGUCAUGAAGAUGGAGUGUUUCAGAUUUUUUGAAUGACUAGGUAAUUGCCCGUGCGUUGCAACGGGAGAACAACAAUCAUGUAUGCAUGAGUGUACAUUUAAGUCAUCCUUUCAAAAUAAAUCAACCAAGCGCUCUUUACCCC